rnacentral:rRNA from 1 species
CCUACGGGAGGCAGCAGUGAGGAAUAUUGGUCAAUGGGCGUAAGCCUGAACCAGCCAAGUCACGUGAGGGAUGAAGGUUCUAUGGAUCGUAAACCUCUUUUAUAAGGGAAUAAAGUGUGGGACGUGUCCUGUUUUGUAUGUACCUUAUGAAUAAGGAUCGGCUAACUCCGUGCCAGCAGCCGCGGUAAUACGGAGGAUCCGAGCGUUAUCCGGAUUUAUUGGGUUUAAAGGGUGCGUAGGCGGCCUUUUAAGUCAGCGGUGAAAGUCUGUGGCUCAACCAUAGAAUUGCCGUUGAAACUGGGAGGCUUGAGUGUGUUUGAGGCAGGCGGAAUGCGUGGUGUAGCGGUGAAAUGCUUAGAUAUCACGCAGAACCCCGAUUGCGAAGGCAGCCUGCCAAGCCAUGACUGACGCUGAUGCACGAAAGCGUGGGGAUCAAACAGGAUUAGAUACCCGGGUAGUC